UACAGAGGGUGCAAGCGUUGUUCGGAAUUAUUGGGCGUAAAGGGAGUGUAGGCGGUUUGGAAAGUCUUCUGUGAAAUCUACGGGCUUAGCCUGUAAAGUGCAGAGGAAACUACCAGGCUUGAGUGUCGGAGAGGAUAGGGGAAUACCCAGUGUAGAGGUGAAAUUCGUAGAGAUUGGGUGGAACACCAGUGGCGAAGGCGCCUAUCUGGCUGACAACUGACGCUGAGACUCGAAAGCAUGGGGGAGCAAACAGG
rnacentral:rRNA from 1 species